AUGGUAGGUGUCAAUGGCAAUGUGAGAAAGGGCCUCGCAUCUCUCGUCAUGUUGGUUUCAUGGGAGAUUUGGAACGAGCGGCAUGCGAGAGUAUUUAGGAAGGUGUCCUCCAUGCCAAAUGUAAUCACGCCUAGAACCAAGGCGGAUGUCAGACUUUUGGGGUUGGCAGGGGCCAAACGUCUGAGUUCUCUUAUGCUGCGAGAGUAG
rnacentral:rRNA from 1 species